AGAUAGCCUCUUUGACUCGAUGGCGGCUCGUGGGAAAAUGCCGAGAGUGAGAAGUGAAAUGGCUCGUAUUGUUCGGGAGGACCGCGAUACCAUGAGAAAGCUGGCUAAACACCUGUAUGUUAUUAGUACACGGUUUUCAGGCACGGGAAAUUAGGGUCCACGUGGGAUCCGCCCCUCUCAAUGGAAGGGGAAGGAACAAAAACUCGUACCAAGAAGGUUGCGCAGGUUGUGUGACCAGCGAUAGAUAAAUGGCAAGCGGCAGUUCAAGAGAUUGCAGAUCCUGGGAAUUUGUGUCGAUUUACUCAAUCUCUAGAUUGGGCCUCUUUUACAGAGAAUAGCCUAAUCUUUUCUUUACGCUUUUGAAUAGAAGUUUUUCUUUGGGCUUCGGCGCUUUUGAGAAAACAUUUUAUCAGCCCACAGUGGAGGAGGCAUUGAACACGCGACGCAGGUCUACAUUUACAUUAUCAAUGCUUGAGCAGUUCAUUUCCAGUCGCGCAUAGAAAAGUUCUUUUUGAUGAAAAAAAAAUGGUCACAUUCAUAUUUUUUUUCGUCUUUGUUGUGGAAGAACUAUAAAAGGACAAAGCCAAAAAUUCUGACACCGCACGAUGCCGCGGCGAGGCGGGAGAUUCUGGGGGUCGCUGACAAAUGUCAUUCCCGGGGACAGAGUGGACCCCCGCGCCCAGUGACUGCGAUGAGGCACAAAAUCACAAAGCAUGGGUGAAAUUCUUCAUUGAUCGAAUUACUCUCUUCAAAGUAUCGGAGAAUGUUGACGAAUUCUUUCUCGUUACAGAAACAAUGCGAGAGAUGCUGCAUCAAGUACGUAGAAUGGAACUCACUCCUAUUGAUUGAAGAAACAAAAGAAAUGACAACUUGUAAAUGAAUUUACAAUAAGAUUUAAUAAAGGUUUUGCUACAGGAGUGUAUCAAUUAAAUUGGUAAAAGAUUGACUUAAAACAUAAAAGUUUCUGAUUUAUAACUAUCUUUAAUAAAUUUGUAAUCAACUAGUCCAUACCAUUUAUUUACCAAUAAAAGUACAAAUUGUAGAUCUCGUAUUGUAGCCAUUCUGAACUGAAUAUCAAUUGUGCACUCCAAUAUAUCAUUGAUGAAAAUAAAUUGAAUCGAUUAGAUGUUUACUAAUUUAAUAAUUAUAUGCAGUCGUAUUGAUAUUUAAAGUAUUGUACUUUGUGAAAAUUAAAAAUAUUUAGUGAUUAAUGAUAGCACGAUAUCUGCUCAUUUAAUUUAAAAAAAUAU
rnacentral:sRNA from 1 species